GAAGUCAGUCUCAUGGCCCUUACGGCCAGGGCUCACACGUGCUACAAUGGUCGGUACAAAGGGUUGCCAAGCCGCGAGGUGGAGCUAAUCCCAUAAAACCGAUCGUAGUCCGGAUCGCAGUCUGCAACUCGACUGCGUGAAGUCGGAAUCGCUAGUAAUCGUGAAUCAGAAUGUCACGGUGAAUACGUUCCCGGGCCUUGUACACACCGCCCGUCACACCAUGGGAGUGGGUUGCUCCAGAAGUAGCUAGUCUAACCUUCGGGGGGACGGUUACCACGGAGUGAUUCAUGACUGGGGUGAAGUCGUAACAAGGUAGCCGUAGGGGAACCUGCGGUUGGAUCACCNCCCUN
rnacentral:rRNA from 2 species